rnacentral:snoRNA from 1 species
UGGACACGUGAAGACCGCAGCCCGGGUGAGUGUCAGGUGAGGAAUAGUACGUGUCUGCAGCUCUGAGGUCCGA